rnacentral:rRNA from 1 species
UACAGAGGGGGCAAGCGUUGUUCGGAAUUACUGGGCGUAAAGGGCGCGUAGGCGGCCUGUUAAGUCGGACGUGAAAUCCCUCGGCUCAACCGGGGAACUGCGUCCGAUACUGGCGGGCUUGAAUUCGGGAGAGGGAUGUGGAAUUCCAGGUGUAGCGGUGAAAUGCGUAGAUAUCUGGAGGAACACCGGUGGCGAAGGCGGCAUCCUGGACCGACAUUGACACUGAGGAGCGAAAGCCAGGGGAGCAAACGGG